rnacentral:rRNA from 1 species
GGCCUCGGAUCAGGUAGGGAUACCCGCUGAACUUAAGCAUAUCAAUAAGCGGAGGAAAAGAAACCAACAGGGAUUGCCUCAGUAACGGCGAGUGAAGCGGCAACAGCUCAAAUUUGAAAUCUGGCCUUCGGGUCCGAGUUGUAAUUUGCAGAGGAUGCUUCGAGCAUGGUCUAGUCUAAGUUCCUUGGAAUAGGACGUCAUAGAGGGUGAGAAUCCCGUAUGCGACUGGGUGUCUAAGCUCAUGUGAAGCUCCUUCGACGAGUCGAGUUGUUUGGGAAUGCAGCUCAAAAUGGGUGGUAAAUUUCAUCUAAAGCUAAAUAUUGGCCAGAGACCGAUAGCGCACAAGUAGAGUGAUCGAAAGAUGAAAAGCACUUUGGAAAGAGAGUUAAAUAGCACGUGAAAUUGUUGAAAGGGAAGCGCUUGCAAUCAG